UACAGAGGUCCCAAGCGUUGUUCGGAUUCACUGGGCGUAAAGGGCGCGUAGGCGGUUCGUACAGUCAGGCGUGAAAUUCCCGGGCUUAACCUGGGGGCUGCGUUUGAUACGUGCGGGCUUGAGUUCGGAAGAGGCGAGUGGAAUUCCUGGUGUAGCGGUGAAAUGCGCAGAUAUCAGGAGGAACACCAAUGGCGAAGGCAGCUCGCUGGGACGGUACUGACGCUGAGGCGCGAAAGCGUGGGGAGCAAACAGG
rnacentral:rRNA from 1 species